UCAGACCCGACUCUCCGAAUUAUGUCCGUGUUGCGUCGUGUAAUCAAUUAAACUAACAAUCGAACAAAACCUUAUUACGAGACAGCGACAAUUUAUCGUAAGUUAAGUAUACAAUACAGUAUACCUAAUUCAUUUUCUCAUGUUAUAAGUGCAAUAAAAUUAUUGCCUGUUAGAUUUGUAUGUAAUUUAGAUUAACAAUCACCAGUUGCUAUAAAAAUUUGAUGAUAUGCUAUUGCCUUGCGCAGUACUUGAGCUUAACAUGAAUACUAUAGCACUUAUUUUGAUGGCCCUGCUAAGUGUAGUGGUGGCCGAGCCUGAGCCAGUUGUCAAUGACCCUGACUACCCUAUCCUAUGCAGCUGCAUACCCACCCAUACUUUCUGCGCCAACGAUAUGAAAACCUACACCAGCGUGUGCGAGUACGGGUGCAAGCAUCCCAACGAGGACGACUGGUACAUUCUGUACGACGGGCCGUGCAUUGGUCAGGGUUAAUAAUUGAACGUUACGUGCAUCUGUUAAACUGGUAACACACUAUCGCACCGCACCGCGACCUUGGUGCGAUAGUGUGUUACGGCUUUUAUAUCUACCAAGAUUGCAAUAAAAACGAAUAACUUGA